UGGUGAACCAGCGGAGGGAUCAUUACAGAGUUGUAAAACUCCCAAACCCAUGUGAACAUACCUGUUGCCUCGGUGGCCUACCCGGUAGCUACCCUGUAGCUACCCUGUAGUCCGCCGACGGAACUUAAAACUCUUGUUUUCAAUUGUCAUUUCUGAGAAUAAAACAAAUAAGUUAAAACUUUCAACAACGGAUCUCUUGGUUCUGG
rnacentral:misc_RNA from 1 species